rnacentral:misc_RNA from 1 species
AACCAUUCUCACCUGCGGCUAGACCUGCGGAAGGAUCAUUAUCAAGAGUGUAUGACCCCCUUAUAAAAUAGUGGGGUUAACCUCCCGUCCUUUGAAGGUCCCUCUUUGUUGAGGGUAAUUUGAAACCUUCUGCUUCGGUGGGUUUACCCACCGGAACAACCUCAAAAUUCUUUGUUCAACAGUUCAGUCCGAGUGGUAUAUUUUAAAAUUUUGAAAAACUUUCAACAAUGGAUCUCAGAU